rnacentral:tRNA from 2 species
GGCGGAAUUGGUAGACGCGCUAGCUUCAGGUGUUAGUGUCUUAACGGACGUGAGGGUUCAAGUCCCUCUCUUCGCACCA